AGUUUGAUCCUGGCUCAGGAUGAACGCUAGCGGCAGGCCUAAUACAUGCAAGUCGAACGGUUGUUAGCAAUAGCAAUAGUGGCGCACGGGUGCGUAACACGUAACUAACCUACCUAUAACUGGGGGAUAGCCCGCCGAAAGGCGGAUUAAUACCGCAUAAGCUGUUUGCCUGGCAUCAGGUGAUUAGUAAAGAUUUAUUGGUUAUAGAUGGGGUUGCGGGUCAUUAGCUAGUUGGUUGGGUAACGGCUGACCAAGGCGACGAUGACUAGGGGAGCUGAGAGGCUGGUCCCCCACACGGGCACUGAGAUACGGGCCCGACUCCUACGGGAGGCAGCAGUAGGGAAUAUUGGGCAAUGGGCGAGAGCCUGACCCAGCCAUGCCGCGUGCAGGAAGAAGGCUUUCUGAGUCGUAAACUGCUUUUGACAGGGAAGAAUAAGCCUUACGUGUAGGGUGAUGACGGUACCUGCAGAAUAAGCACCGGCUAACUCCGUGCCAGCAGCCGCGGUAAUACGGAGGGUGCGAGCGUUGUCCGGAUUUAUUGGGUUUAAAGGGUGCGUAGGCGGCCGUUUAAGUCUGGGGUGAAAGCCCGCUGCUCAACAGCGGAACUGCCCUGGAUACUGGAUGGCUUGAGUACAGACGAGGUUGGCGGAAUGGACUGAGUAGCGGUGAAAUGCAUAGAUACAGUCCAGAACCCCGAUUGCGAAGGCAGCUGACUAGGCUGUUACUGACGCUGAGGCACGAAAGCGUGGGGAGCGAACAGGAUUAGAU
rnacentral:rRNA from 1 species